rnacentral:rRNA from 1 species
GACGAACGCUGGCGGCGUGCUUAACACAUGCAAGUCGAACGAAAAGGCGCUGCUUUUGUUGGGUGCUCGAUUGGCGAACGGGUGAGUAACACGUGAAGAACCUGCCCUUGACUUUGGGAUAACUUCAGGAAACUGGGGCUAAUACCGGAGAUAAGCUCCUGCUGCAUGGGGGUGGUUGGAAAAUGUCGGCGUUGGGGGAUGUACUCGCGGCUUAUCAGCUUGUUGGUUGGGUAGUGGCUUACCAAGGCUUUGACGGGAAGCCGACCUGAGAGGGUGACCGGCCACACUGGAACUGAGACACGGUCCCGACUCCUGCGGGAGGGAGCCGUAGGGAAUCUGCCGCAAUGGGCGAAAGCCUGACGGAGCAACGCCGCGUGAGCGAUGAAGUGCGUCGGAUCGUAAAACUCUGUUAUUAGGGAAGAACAAACGUGUAAGUAACUGUGCACGUCUUGACGGGACCUAAUCAGAAAGCCACGGCUAGCUACGUG